GAUGAGACGUAGCGAAAUGCGAUACUUGGUGUGAAUUGCAGAAUCCCGUGAACCAUCGAGUCUUUGAACGCAAGUUGCGCCCGAAGCCAUUAGGCCGAGGGCACGCCUGCCUGGGCGUCACACGUCGUUGCCCCCCCAUCUACUCCUUCGGGAUUGCGGGGGGCGGAUGAUGGCCUCCCGUGCGCCUCGCCGCGCGGUUGGCAUAAAUGCCAAGUCCUCGGCGACGCACGCCACGACAAUCGGUGGUUGCGAAACCUCGGUUGCCCGUCGUGUGCGGUCGUCGCGCAUCGAGGGCUCGAAAAAAUUGCCGGGUUCCGGCUCGGCUUUCAACGCGACCCCAGGUCAGGCGGGGUUACCCGCUGAAUUUAAGCAUAUCAAUAAGCGGAGGA
rnacentral:misc_RNA from 1 species